UACGGGGGGAGCAAGCGUUGUUCGGAUUUACUGGGCGUAAAGGGCGCGUAGGCGGUCAGCACAAGUCAGUUGUGAAAUCUCCGGGCUUAACUCGGAAAGGUCAACUGAUACUGUGCGACUAGAGUGCAGAAGGGGCAACUGGAAUUCUCGGUGUAGCGGUGAAAUGCGUAGAUAUUAGGAAGAACACCAGUGGCGAAGGCGGCUCACUGGCCCGGUACUGACGCUGAGGCGCGAAAGCGUGGGGAGCAAACAGG
rnacentral:rRNA from 1 species